UACGUAGGCAGCGAGCGUUGUUCGGAAUUACUGGGCGUAAAGCGCACGUAGGCGGCUUUGCAAGUUAGAGGUGAAAGCCCGGGGGCUCAACUCCGGAAUUGCCUUUAAAACUGCAUCGCUAGAAUUGUGGAGAGGUAAGUGGAAUUCCGAGUGUAGAGGUGAAAUUCGUAGAUAUUCGGAAGAACACCAGUGGCGAAGGCGACUUACUGGACACAUAUUGACGCUGAGGUGCGAAAAGCGUGGGGGAGCAAACAGG
rnacentral:rRNA from 1 species